AAGAAAUCAUGGGCCUUGGAAGCUGGUUGAGCACCCAAUUAGUGUCAUGUAAAGAUACUUUCUAUGAGGAUCAGUCAUUAAACAUCAAUGUGUGACUCACCGUACAUAGGGUAUUGCUUUACGUGCUAUUUUAGAUGCUUUGAGGAAGCCUGCAGAUUCAGAAGUUUGUUCCUUCCUAGUUUAUCAGUUAAUGUUAUUAUUGUGAAUUUCAGUUUUACCUUGGAUUUAUAACAUUCUGAUGUUUUCCUUUGAGAGUAUGGCAUUGGAGCAGAGUGUGGACCAUCUCAUUGAGUGGCCACAGUAUAGAGAGGGCACUCAACAGCAUUUCAGCGGCUUAUACCCAACCUGAUGGUGGCCAUAGUGCCAAUACUGCUCACCGACGCGGUCAUAUUCAAUCUUCAGCUCCACAUAUAGAGCAAUUCCCUCUUCGAUCCCACUGCAACAGAGACCACCAAGUUCUCUGAGUUCACUCCUAAUUACAUGAAGCCAUCACAACACACCUACCCUUCCU